rnacentral:rRNA from 1 species
GAUGCCCAGCUUGCUGGGUGGAUUAAUGGCGAACGGGUGAGUAACACGUGAGUAACCUGCCCCUGACUCUGGGAUAAGCGUUGGAAACGACGUCUAAUACUGGAUAUGACUGCCGGCCGCAUGGUCUGGUGGUGGAAAGAUUUUUUGGUUGGGGAUGGACUCGCGGCCUAUCAGCUUGUUGGUGAGGUAAUGGCUCACCAAGGCGACGACGGGUAGCCGGCCUGAGAGGGUGACCGGCCACACUGGGACUGAGACACGGCCCAGACUCCUACGGGAGGCAGCAGUGGGGAAUAUUGCACAAUGGGCGAAAGCCUGAUGCAGCAACGCCGCGUGAGGGAUGACGGCCUUCGGGUUGUAAACCUCUUUUAGUAGGGAAGAAGCGUAAGUGACGGUACCUGCAGAAAAAGCACCGGCUAACUACGUGCCAGCAGCCGCGGUAAUACGUAGGGUGCAAGCGUUGUCCGGAAUUAUUGGGCGUAAAGAGCUCGUAGGCGGUUUGUCGCGUCUGCUGUGAAAUCCCGAGGCUCAACCUCGGGCUUGCAGUGGGUACGGGCAGACUAGAGUGCGGUAGGGGAGAUUGGAAUUCCUGGUGUAGCGGUGGAAUGCGCAGAUAUCAGGAGGAACACCGAUGGCGAAGGCAGAUCUCUGGGCCGUAACUGACGCUGAGGAGCGAAAGCGUGGGGAGCGAACAGGAUUAGAUACCCUGGUAGUCCACGCCGUAAACGUUGGGCGCUAGAUGUAGGGACCUUUCCACGGUUUCUGUGUCGUAGCUAACGCAUUAAGCGCCCCGCCUGGGGAGUACGGCCGCAAGGCUAAAACUCAAAGGAAUUGACGGGGGCCCGCACAAGCGGCGGAGCAUGCGGAUUAAUUCGAUGCAACGCGAAGAACCUUACCAAGGCUUGACAUACACCGGAAACGGCCAGAGAUGGUUGCCCCCUUGUGGUCGGUGUACAGGUGGUGCAUGGUUGUCGUCAGCUCGUGUCGUGAGAUGUUGGGUUAAGUCCCGCAACGAGCGCAACCCUCGUUCUAUGUUGCCAGCGCGUUAUGGCGGGGACUCAUAGGAGACUGCCGGGGUCAACUCGGAGGAAGGUGGGGAUGACGUCAAAUCAUCAUGCCCCUUAUGUCUUGGGCUUCACGCAUGCUACAAUGGCCGGUACAAAGGGCUGCGAUACCGUAAGGUGGAGCGAAUCCCAAAAAGCCGGUCUCAGUUCGGAUUGAGGUCUGCAACUCGACCUCAUGAAGUCGGAGUCGCUAGUAAUCGCAGAUCAGCAACGUUGCGGUGAAUACGUUCCCGGGCCUUGUACACACCGCCCAUCAAGUCACAAAAGUCCGUAACACCCGAAGCCGGUGGCCUAACCGUCGUGAC